rnacentral:rRNA from 1 species
UUGCACGCUGGCGGCAGGCCUAACACAUGCCAAUCGAGCGGAUGAAGGGAGCUUGCUCCUGGAUUCAGCGGCGGACGGGUGAGUAAUGCCUAGGAAUCUGCCUGGUAGUGGGGGAUAACGUCCGGAAACGGGCGCUAAUACCGCAUACGUCCUGAGGGAGAAAGUGGGGGAUCUUCGGACCUCACGCUAUCAGAUGAGCCUAGGUCGGAUUAGCUAGUUGGUGGGGUAAAGGCCUACCAAGGCGACGAUCCGUAACUGGUCUGAGAGGAUGAUCAGUCACACUGGAACUGAGACACGGUCCAGACUCCUACGGGAGGCAGCAGUGGGGAAUAUUGGACAAUGGGCGAAAGCCUGAUCCAGCCAUGCCGCGUGUGUGAAGAAGGUCUUCGGAUUGUAAAGCACUUUAAGUUGGGAGGAAGGGCAGUAAGUUAAUACCUUGCUGUUUUGACGUUACCAACAGAAUAAGCACCGGCUAACUUCGUG